UGGGGAAUAUUGCACAAUGGAGGAAACUCUGAUGCAGCGAUGCCGCGUGAGGGAAGAAGGUUUUAGGAUUGUAAACCUCCGUCUUCAGGGACGAAAAAAGGACGGUACCUGAGGAGGAAGCUCCGGCUAACUACGUGCCAGCAGCCGCGGUAAUACGUAGGGAGCGAGCGUUGUCCGGAAUUACUGGGUGUAAAGGGAGCGUAGGCGGGAUCGCAAGUCAGAUGUGAAAACUAUGGGCUUAACCCAUAAACUGCAUUUGAAACUGUGGUUCUUGAGUGAAGUAGAGGUAAGCGGAAUUCCUAGUGUAGCGGUGAAAUGCGUAGAUAUUAGGAGGAACAUCAGUGGCGAAGGCGGCUUACUGGGCUUUAACUGACGCUGAGGCUCGAAAGCGUGGGGAGCAAACAGGAUUAGAUACCCUGGUAGUCCACGCCGUAAACGAUGAUUACUAGGUGUGGGGGGACUGACCCCUUCCGUGCCGCAGCAAACGCAAUAAGUAAUCCACCUGGGGAGUACGACCGCAAGGUUGAAACUCAAAGGAAUUGACGGGGGCCCGCACAAGCAGUGGAGUAUGUGGAUUAAUUCGAAGCAACGCGAAGAACCUUACCAGGUCUUGACAUCGUAUGCAUAGCUCAGAGAUGAGUGAAAUCUCUUCGGAGACAUAUAGACAGGUGGUGCAUGGUUGUCGUCAGCUCGUGUCGUGAGAUGUUGGGUUAAGUCCCGCAACGAGCGCAACCCUUACUGUUAGUUGCUACGCAAGAGCACUCUAGCAGGACUGCCGUUGACAAAACGGAGGAAGGUGGGGAUGACGUCAAAUCAUCAUGCCCCUUAUGACCUGGGCCUCACACGUACUACAAUGGCUGUAAACAGAGGGAAGCAAAGCCGCGAGGUAGAGCGAACCCCUAAAAGCAGUCUUAGUUCGGAUUGUAGGCUGCAACCCGCCUACAUGAAGUCGGAAUUGCUAGUAAUCGCAGAUCAGCAUGCUGCGGUGAAUACGUUCCC
rnacentral:rRNA from 1 species